CAUUAAAAAUUUCUUAAUCUUUCUUGAUCUGAUCUAUUCAAUCCUUAGAUAUAAUAUUUCUCUGAAAGAACUAAACAAGUACCUCCGACAUGUCGCUUAAUUAAAUUUAUGCAAAUAAAUUUGUCAAUACGAGUUUCAUACAGUUAUUCAGCAUUAAACUUCAAGGAUGAUAGCUUUUAUAAUCACAGUAAUAAUAAUAUUUUAACGAAAAUGCUGUUUUAAGCAUGUUUGCAGGUUGUAAUAUCCGAAUAACCUUGGAUCACGUAAUUGUGGAUGUGCAAAGUAGUAAUUACAUCUCGUCUUAUCAUAAGGAAACGAUCGUCGAUGUAAUAUUAAGAAUGUCUGUUUUAUUUUAUGAUGUUUUCAAACGGCAUGAUCCAAACAAUUUAGUCGUAUCGUUCACGAAGCUAUGUACUACGUACACGAGCACGUUCACGAUUUUUAAGAACAUCGAUAAACAUCGUGAUUUGAGCGGUAGCCUUGAGAUUCUUCGUGAAGCAACUACUUUCGUUCGUCAAUACUUUUAGACGCAAACUUACCGUACUUUCACUUCCACGAAAUCUCACUUCUAAUAAUUAGUCAUCGGAGUUUAUUGAACUAACGUGACUGACCAAUGAAAAGCAAGAGAGAUCGAUCAGUGAUGAUAUUAAAAGAAAAUAGGCGAAACAAAUUAAUAAGAUUUAUGAAUUAUUCCUUGACAAACUUCAAUCUGUCCGUCUUAGUUUGUAACAAGCAACAUGUUUCUGUAGGGUUAAAUUUCAAUGUGAUCGAUCGCGGUAAUGUUUCAUUUCUCUGUAUGUUCUAUAAGUCGGUUUUCAAUUUCUUCUCUCGAUUCUCGUGUACCGAAGUUUCUGACUACCUGUUGAAAAUAUGAGCCUCACCAGGUUACGCAACGAAUUCUACUUAUCAUUAUUGCUGGUGCAUCCUCGACCUGUUGCGCAUUUGUACACGUAACGAUUCUUCUAUUCCAAUAACGUGGAAUCUUUUCCAUAUUGUAUCCUUUCGAUUCUGUAUCCAGGUACCGUGGUAAUUCAUGAAUUUUUGUACCUCUGAAGAUCAUCGCACCGCACUGAUCUACGAAUUUUUGAGUUGUAUUAAAAAUUUAUUUUUACCUUUAUAUCAAAAAUGCAUUUUACAACAGUAAUAUUUUCAUAGAUAAUAAUUGCAUAAUAAAUUAUUGUCGUGUCUAAAAUUCUGAUAUUUUAAUUAAAAAGUACCAUUCCGUAAGAAUACCCUAAUUCGGCAUUUAUUUUACAUCAUUUUUCAUAUCGUUUAUAUAGUAUAUACUGCGCAUGCACCAUUUAAACGAUAUGAGAAAUUAUGGAAAGUAAAUACUCUAAUUAAAUGCAUACUAUCAUAACGAUUGAACUUCCUCUAAACGAUUUACGAGCCGGUUAGCAACAUUUCGUCGACAUUUACAUUAGAGUAGCGGUUCGAUAACGAAAGAUCAGGGGUCGGGAUUGAUAAAGGUUGAUAGUGGGCCCCGAUAGACGUAAGUGGUCAGUUCCUUCGGUGUCGCAGGCAAAUAAACUACAACUUUCCUCGUCUCGUAUUGCUUACACGUCUAAGAAACGCGUGUUGCUCAUUCAGGAACUAAACGUCAAUUAAUUAGACGUUUUGAUAGCUUUAUUCGAUCGAAUUUCUACUAUUUAUCUGUGAUUAACGAGUAAUAAUGUGCCACUGAAUAGUUACUUGAAAAUAUGAACAGCGAUGGAAAUUGUCAUACCAGGAAGUAUAGCUACUUAUUUGAUAACGUUUAGUGUUCGUGUAAGAAAUGUCGAGUAGGAAUAGUUAAUUCGUUUCGAAGCCAGUUCAAAUAGCCAGUUUUAUACUACCAGAUGAUGAUCGUGCCAUCCCCCGGAUCCAUAUGGGAUUAUCCAUAUUUGAACCAGGUCAGCAGAAUGAUGGGCUUGGUAUAUGGGACAGGACCAAAACCUGAGCAAGAUUUAUUCCCUCCCAAGAUUCGAAUUCCAGAGACACAUGUAAUGUCCCCAUUCCAUACCCUUUCACCAUUUGGAUAUUUCAGUGCAUUCACCCAUAGCCUUUGAUCGAACAAUAUCACAUCUUCCCAAUUUUCUUACAAUUAAUUUUCUAGAGAAUUUUUGUACUCUGGUAAAUGUCUCGAGGUAAAUGAAAUUUCGUCUAUAUUAUAUAUGAAAAUGGAAAACUUGAAGAAGCAAGGAAUGUCAUGGAUUACCGCUAAGAAUCAUUGGAAACGCGGUGCACACGUCCCUCCGCACAAUCGAGCACAAUUGUGAAAUAAUCAAUAAUUUGGAGUGACUGCAUCGUCACGCUGGUUGCAUUUCAGGCUCGUCCAAUUUAUUACAAAUUCUAUUCACGGCUUCUACCCACACUGAAUAUUUAUAGAUGCCGUUGGAUCCUUUUUUCUUCGGCUCCUUUUUCUACCUUUUUCGAAAGAAGUGGAGGCCUGAUCGAUUAGCAUACAUUCGAGCGGACCGUUAUGUUAUGUUAG